AGCUCCUGUGUUGAGAUGAGGUCACUGGUUUGCAGGCCCUGCCUGACUUUCUCUCUCAUACAACUCUGUCCAAGCAUACCAGCUCUGAAGCCAGUUGGGGGAUUUUUAAGUAGAUGUUCUUGAUGUACUCUACAUUUAGAAUCUUUAUAGAUCUUUGCUACAGGAUUUUUCAAUUCACUGAACUAUUUUCAUUGAGUUUUCCAAAGCCUUCACUUUGACUUCAGUCCUCCCACACGCCAUCGUGGUAGUCGGCAUUCACUGCGUUGCUGUGAUUCAGUCUAAAGUGGCAGGAGCAGGUUCGGGAGCCAUCUUAGCUAACUCGGUGUAGCUCAGCUAGGGCCCCACAGUUUGUGAGUGCACAUCCAGUCCACUUAUUGAUAGAUUGUGUGCAUUGUAGCAGUGUGACUCGGGUGCUGAAUGGUGAGAUCAUUUAAGCUUUUUAGAGCCUAUUUCGUGUGUUUGAGCCGGUGCUGGACAGCAGGGUCAGCAGGAAGCAGCCAUCUAGUUGGAUAACACGGACCGAUCGCAACAUAGUAUUGAGAUAAUGAGAACUCUUCUAAUCAAUGGAUAAAGUGGGGAAAAUGUGGAACAACUUCAAAUACAGGUGCCAGAAUCUCUUCAGCCAUGAAGGAGGAAGCCGAAGUGAGAAUGUGGACAUGA
rnacentral:lncRNA from 1 species